rnacentral:pre_miRNA from 1 species
UGAUGAUGAUGAUGAUGAUGAUGAUGAUGGUGGUGUGGUGGUGGUUUUUGUUGCUGCGUUUCGAUGUUGUUGUCAAUAUCAUCAUCAUCAUCAUCAUCAUCAUCAUCAUCA